AUAAUCCGUCGACUUUAGAAAUCGUGAGGGUUCAAGUCCCUCUAUCCCCCAAAAAAGACCGAUUUGACUAUGUCUCCUACCCUCUCUUUUUUUUAGUGGUUCCAAAUUUGUUCUCUUUCUCAUUCAUUCUACCUUUUUACAAACGUAUCAGAGCAGAAUUUUUUUCUUUUAUCACAAUCACAAGUGGUGUGGUAUAUAUGAUAUACGUACAAAUGAACAUCUUUGAACAAAGAAUCCCGAUUCACAAUUCAUAUCAUUGCUCAUACUGAAACUUAUAAAUUAUUCUAUUCAAGAAAUCUAAUUCCACGCUCAAGACUUUUAAUACUUUUUUUAUCUUUUUUAAUUGACAUAGACCCCAGUCAUCUAGUAAAAUAAGGAUGAUGCGCCGGUAAUGGUCGGGAUAGCUCAGCUGGUAGAGCAGAGGACUGAAAAUCCUCGUGUCACCAGN
rnacentral:tRNA from 1 species